rnacentral:tRNA from 1 species
AGAGGCUUAGGAUUAACAAGACCAGAAGCCUUCAAAGCUUCAAGUAGGAGUUAAAACCUCCUAGUCUCUG